AAUCUGCUGGGGGCAUAUGAAGUGGAUAUGUGUGUCGAUGCCGCCCGCCGUGAGGAUUUUCCCCUCGCCGGCGAGCACCUCGGUGGAUGCGCCUACAACCAUCGAUUUGUCCACGCCGUCCAUCAAGUGGGGGUUGCCGGAUUUUCCGAUGCCGACGAUUUUUCCGUCCUUGAUUCCGACAUCCGCCUUAACGAUUCCCCAGUGGUCGAGAAUAAGCGCGUUCGUAAUAAGCAAAUCGAG
rnacentral:sRNA from 1 species